UACGGGGGGGGCAAGCGUUGUUCGGAAUUACUGGGCGUAAAGGGCUCGUAGGCGGCCAACUAAGUCGGAUGUGAAAUCCCCAGGCUUAACCUGGGAACUGCAUCCGAUACUGGAUGGCUUGAAUCCGGGAGAGGGAUGCAGAAUUCCAGGUGUAGCGGUGAAAUGCGUAGAUAUCUGGAGGAAUACCGGUGGCGAAGGCGGCAUCCUGGACCGGGCAUUUGACGCUGAGUGAGCGAAAGCCAGGGGAGCAAAGCGGGG
rnacentral:rRNA from 1 species